rnacentral:rRNA from 1 species
UGGGGAAUAUUGCACAAUGGGCGCAAGCCUGAUGCAGCCAUGCCGCGUGUGUGAAGAAGGCCUUCGGGUUGUAAAGCACUUUCAGCGGGGAGGAAGGCGUUAAGGUUAAUAAUCUUGGCGAUUGACGUUACCCGCAGAAGAAGCACCGGCUAACUCCGUGCCAGCAGCCGCGGUAAUACGGAGGGUGCAAGCGUUAACCGGAAUUACUGGGCGUAAAGCGCACGCAGGCGGUCUGUCAAGUCGGAUGUGAAAUCCCCGGGCUCAACCUGGGAACUGCAUUGGAAACUGGCAGGGUAGAGUCUUGUAGAGGGGGGUAGAAUUCCAGGUGUAGCGGUGAAAUGCGUAGAGAUCUGGAGGAAUACCGGUGGCGAAGGCGGCCCCCUGGACAAAGACUGACGCUCAGGUGGGAAAGCGUGGGGAGCAAAAAGG